rnacentral:rRNA from 1 species
UACGAAGGGGGCUAGCGUUGCUCGGAAUCACUGGGCGUAAAGGGCGCGUAGGCGGCCAUUCAAGUCAGAGGUGAAAGCCCAAGGCUCAACCUUGGAAUUGCCUUUGAUACUGUUUGGCUUGAGACCGGAAGAGGUUAGUGGAACUGCGAGUGUAGAGGUGAAAUUCGUAGAUAUUCGGAAGAACACCAGUGGCGAAGGCGGCUCGCUGGACUGGUAUUGACGCUGAGGUGCGAAAGCGUGGGGAGCAAACAGG